AUUGAACGCUGGCGGCAGGCCUAACACAUGCAAGUCGAACGUUUCGCGUACUUUUGAGUAAUUUCUUGGAAACUUCCUGUUGGCGGGGGAUAACUACUGGACACUGUAGCUCAUCCCUCAUUCCAUCCGAUGUUCCCAGAUGGGAUUAGCUAGUAGGUGGGGUAAAGGCUCACCUAGGCGACGAUCCCUAGCUGGUCUGCGAGGAGGACCAGCCACACUGGAACUGAGACACGGUCCAGACUCCUACGGGAGGCAGCAGUGGGGAAUAUUGCAAAAUGGGCGCAAGCCUGAUGCAGCCAUGCCGCGUGUAUGAAGAAGGCCUUCGGGUUGUAAAGUACUUUCAGCGGGGAGGCGGAAACAGAAGAAGAAGCAAAGGCUAACUCCGUGCCAGCAGCCGCGGUAAUAG
rnacentral:rRNA from 1 species